rnacentral:rRNA from 1 species
GCGGUGGAGUAUGUGGUUUAAUUCGAUGCAACGCGAAGAACCUUACCUGGUCUUGACAUCCCGGAGACCCUUAGGAAACUAGGGGGUGCUUCCAUCUGGAAGAAUCUGGAGACAGGUGCUGCAUGGCUGUCGUCAGCUCGUGUCGUGAGAUGUUGGGUUAAGUCCCGCAACGAGCGCAACCCUUGUGUUUAGUUGCAAACAGGUCAAGCUGUGCACUCUAGACAGACUGCCGUGGACAACACGGAGGAAGGUGGGGAUGACGUCAAAUCAUCAUGCCCCUUAUGAUCUGGGCUACACACGUGCUACAAUGGCCGGUACAACGGGCAGCGAAGGAGCGAUCCGGAGCGAAUCCUAAAAAGCCGGUCCCAGUUCGGAUUGCAGGCUGAAACUCGCCUACAUGAAGUUGGAGUUGCUAGUAAUCGCGAAUCAGAAUGUCGCGGUGAAUGCGUUCCCGGGUCUU